UUCUAAGUCUUUAUGUAAAAGGUGGAAUGAAGGAGGGAGGGAGAAGAAACUGAGAACAUCAAUGAACGGUCCUUCUUGUGCAUCUGUGCUGUCAGAGACUCUCUUGCAGAGACAAAGGAGGUUAAGACUUAGGAGGCUGGACUCUCUCACCCAUCUACUCCCUCAGCUCUGACAGCUCUCCCACCGAGGCCUCCGGACACAUGGGCAGCAAUUCUCCCAGCAUACAGAGCUGCUGGUCUCCACUGGAGGGCAAGCCGGAGAUCUGGACCUGCAACUGAUGGCUCACAGGGCAGAGCCCGAAGUUGAACCUGUUCUGGUCAUCAGCAGGAGGAUAAGAGGAGCUGACACUCUUCACCGCGUCGCUGAACUAAAUGUGUGAGGUUUAAACAGACUAAACUUUCUUUGAAUUGAAGAUGUUAGAAUCCUGUGCUCCUGAUCUGAUAUGCCUGUAAGAUUAGCUAUUUUAGAAGACAGUUUCUUCAGUUUGUAUUGCUCAAUUGCAAUAGUUGAAUUCAGUGAUAUUGUCAAUAUUGCUAUAACAUUUCUGUCUGUUCAAAUAUAGUUAAAAAAAACAAACACACAACCUCCCACAUUGUUGCUUUUUUCCUCUUGAUGAACCCCCCACCCCCAUAAAAACAAAUUCAGAAUGAAAUCAUUACUUAACAACUUAAGAUGAGCUUAAGAACAUUUUAUUUGUUUGGAGCUUCCCAAGUAUUGAUUGCUGUUGUAAAAGAUGACAAAAACGAACCACAUAUAUGCCAGAGACAACAACAAGGACUAUUAAGCUUUUUGUUUUGUCUUUUUUCCUGGUUGUUGUAACCUUGAUGGUUGGAAUACGGAUAAAGUUAAAAGGUCGUCUUCAGUGUUAAUCCUCCACCCUGUGAUGCAUUCUUCCACACUUUUACAGGGCAUCCGUUUGUUGGCAAAGAACCAAAGUAAAGUCACACACACACACACACACACACAGGAGUUGUUUCUGUUUCAGUGAUCUGGGCAGACACCCAAUCUGCGGAGAGCAGCGCCUAUGUCUCAAGCUGGGGAUGUGCUGUUUUCUGUGUGUGCGGCGUGUUGUUGCCAUGUCGUGGCUUGUGUCCUAUUAUCACCCCUCUCCCACUUCCUUCUCUCCGAAGCACAGACACACACACACACACACACACACCGCCUCUCAAAGACUCGGCCAACAGCCAAGACUGCAGCACCGGGAGGCUAAACUCACUCUGAUUUGUGAGGUGACAAAAAGGAGGGAAAGAGAUCAACUGUUCACUUUUGUGUGUUGCAAAGAAAAGAACCAACAUUUAAGUAAACGCCUAAAUGUUGAUCAAAUAACUCUCUCAGAGCAUUUAACUUCCAAAAAAUUAUUUUUAUUCUGAAGGACCAAUAAAAUUAUGGCAAAUAUUUACAAAUAGUUACUUCUCAGUUUCACAUUACUGAUACAUAAAUGGAAUAAUUCACCAACAAACAGUCACUCUGGUGGACAGAUGGACAGGUACACAGACUGAGUAUGAAGAGAUGCAUCAAGCAGACUGUAAUUCAAAAUUUCACAGUAAAAAUCAAAGCCAGGAACUUAAAUAACCAUAAUAUAACCAUGAAAAUAGAAAACAUAAGCCUUUUAACAAAGUCACCAUUUAUUUCCGGCUUUCGGGAUAAAACCAAUUACUAGUCGGGGGCAAAAAGUAAAACGAGGGUUGUUGAAGAGAAAUCAAGUGAUAUGAUAUCUUUGGCAAAGUCGCACUGCAGUAAAAUACAUUCAAAUAUUAAGACAACACACGACACACAGAGAGAAAAAACACCAAGAUUUGUUUGCAACUACUAGAAAAUUGAAUAAAAAACAUACACAUUUUCAUAAAGAAGCAUUUCACUUUUUUUUCAAACCAUCCCCUCCAGAAUAUUCAAAGGCAAUACUUCAUUUUAUGUAUCUGUAAGUCUUUUCUGCCCUUUCUUAUGUUUUUGUACAAGAAUCGAAUAUUUAAAACAGGCAUCACAGGCUUUGGUGAAUGUUAACGGAUAUGUUUUCUUUUAGUUGUGUUUGUAUUUUGAAGAAAGGAAAAUAUUGAAACCAAAUUUAUUCCUUGUCUUUGCAUCACAAUGUAUUUCUGUAUUCCUGUGUUUCUUGUUCAUACUUUUUUUAUUAUUAUUUUUAGCCAAAAACACAGAUAGAAAUAUCUCCUCAACAGCCUAAAUAGGAAGCCAUGGACACACACACACACACACACACGCACACAAGCAUACACACAAAAUCAACAUAAUAUUAAAACAACUCCAGAUUGUUACACAAAAGGCCACAGUAAGGUGAGAACUCAUGUAUCUAUUUCUUUUCUUGAUUGAAACAGCUGCUUAAGUCAGGUUUUUGUAGGCUGAUUCGUGCGCAUUAGUUCUCUUCCACAGUUGAAUAAUAUAAAGAUGUAGGGAACUCUGUAACGCUUCAGUGUGAGAUCUGUCUGAAGCCUAGUUAUAUCAGCAAGCAUGGAACAGAUUGUGCCACUAAUUGCUGUCAAGAUGUGAUGCUGAAUUCCCCUCUGGUUUGGGAUUCAUAUUGAGAUACAGUCGAGCAGUGCACACUUGGUGGAAAAUCAUAAUUUAAAAAAAA